AAUAAGAAGCAAUUUGCAUUUAAUUUCGACUUAAAAGAUAGAGUAUUUACUCCUUAUUUAAUUUUAAUUGAAACCAAAAAGA
rnacentral:tRNA from 1 species